CUUGUUGUGAAAUCCAGACUGACAGGUCUUGGUAAUUUGUACUCCUUUGAAUCCUUUGUAUCCAAAUGGAUUAAUUGUCUUUCAUACAGAAAGUGUUGAGAUCAUACCUACAAGUGGCACAACCCAGCUGAACUUGACAACUCUGGUGGCAGUGUCAACUGCAAUGGCAUCUGCUCAAAGCAGCAGUGGUGUUUCAGCAGCAGCGAUUGGCUGCGUCAUCUUAUCUAUUGCUCUGCUUAUGGUUAUUGUUUUAAACGCUGCUGCCUAUGCACAUUUCAAAAGAGCAAAGGAAUGUGUGAUUUACCAACAACACAGUAAUUCUCACACAAGCCUGGAGAACCAGUCCAAUGCACAGAUAGGAAUUUACAACACACAAUCUGUCCACACUGCUGGGGGGGAUCAGUAUGGUUUGUAUUGCUAUUGUUUUUA
rnacentral:lncRNA from 1 species